rnacentral:rRNA from 1 species
UGGAUCCAGACUUUGAUUCUGGCUCAGGAUGAACGCUAGCUACAGGCUUAACACAUGCAAGUCGAGGGGAAACGACAUCGAAAGCUUGCUUUUGAUGGGCGUCGACCGGCGCACGGGUGAGUAACGCGUAUCCAACCUGCCCACCACUUGGGGAUAACCUUGCGAAAGUAAGACUAAUACCCAAUGAUAUCCCACGAAGGCAUCCGAAUGGGAUUAAAGAUUUAUCGGUGAUGGAUGGGGAUGCGUCUGAUUAGCUUGUUGGCGGGGUAACGGCCCACCAAGGCUACGAUCAGUAGGGGUUCUGAGAGGAAGGUCCCCCACAUUGGAGCUGAGACACGGUCCAAACUCCUACGGGAGGCAGCAGUGAGGAAUAUUGGUCAAUGGGCGAGAGCCUGAACCAGCCAAGUAGCGUGCAGGAUGACGGCCCUAUGGGUUGUAAACUGCUUUUAUAAGGGAAUAAAGUGAGUCUCGUGAGACUUUUUGCAUGUACCUUAUGAAUAAGGACCGGCUAAUUCCGUGCCAGCAGCCGCGGUAAUGCGGAAGGUCCGGGCGCUAUCCGGAUUUAUUGGGUUUAAAGGGAGCGUAGGCCGGAGAUUAAGCGUGUUGUGAAAUGUAGUGGCUCAACCUCUGCACUGCAGCGCGAACUGGUCUUCUUGAGUACGCACAACGUGGGCGGAAUUCGUGGUGUAGCGGUGAAAUGCUUAGAUAUCACGAAGAACUCCGAUUGCGAAGGCAGCUCACGGGAGCGCAACUGACGCUGAAGCUCGAAAGUGCGGGUAUCGAACAGGAUUAGAUACCCUGGUAGUCCGCACGGUAAACGAUGGAUGCCCGCUGUUGGCCUGAAUAGGUCAGCGGCCAAGCGAAAGCAUUAAGCAUCCCACCUGGGGAGUACGCCGGCAACGGUGCAACUCAAAUG